ACUAACAGCUGGGUGCCAGGGGAAACCUCCAGAGCAACAGCAGAGUCUGGCAACAGAACAUGGCACAGCUGGAAAGCUUCUGUGCUCAACACACCUGGGGUGUCCUGGCUGCUGUGCUUUGUGCUUGCCCUGCUACUGCCCCAAACUCCUGGAGGAAUAAAAAUCAUUAAAACACAGGGACACCUCAACAUGAGGAAGAGCUUCUUUCCAUGGAGGGUGGCAGAGCAUGGAGCAGCUGCCCAGGGAGGGCACAGAGUCUCCCUCUCUGGAGACAUUCCAAACCCACCUGGACACGUUUCUGUGUCACCUGCAGCAGGACACCCAGCAAACCUGCCUUGAAGAACACCUGCAGCAAAAGAACAGACACCACUCAUUGCUGAGUUUACAUUUCCACACAAUGAAUGUUUUCUUAUCGUAUGGAAAAUUAAACUUUUACCUUAGUGUGUCCGAA